AACGUAGGAGACAAACGUUAUCCGGAGUUACUGGGCGUAAAGGGCGUGUAAGUGGUUUUGUAAGUCUGGCGUGAAAUUUCCCGGCUUAACCGGGAAGGGUUAUGCCAGACUGUCUUUCUGGAGUGCGAGAGAGGGGCGUGGAAUUCCGGGUGUAGUGGUGAAAUGCGUAGAGAUCCGGAGGAACCCCAGAGGCGAAGGCGGCGCCCUGGCUCGCAACUGACGCUCAGACACGACAGCAUGGGGAGCGAACGGG
rnacentral:rRNA from 1 species